UUGCCCUUAUUCAAAUUUGCACAUCCGCACCCCCAAAGUCCAAAGUUUAUUAGAAAGGGUUUUAAGUGAGCAUUUCAAGAACUAACAAAUGGCGCAAAGCCUUAAGCACAGUAUAGAAUCCCUUGAAACUGAAGAAGAAGAAGAAGAAAAGGAGGUCUCAAUUUCUGCAGAAAAUGGGAUCCACUUGGAAACGCGUGAGACCUGUUGAAGAAGAAAAAGAAAAAGAGGCUAGAUCCUUGUAGAAAUAUCACCCUUUUUUUACUACUUUGCCGCAUUGAUAAGAUUCACACACCAAAA